rnacentral:rRNA from 1 species
GAUGAACGCUGGCGGCGUGCCUAAUACAUGCAAGUCGAGCGAACGGACGAGAAGCUUGCUUCUCUGAUGUUAGCGGCGGACGGGUGAGUAACACGCGGAUAACCAACCUAUAAGACUGGGAUAACUUCGGGAAACCGGAGCUAAUACCGGAUAAUAUUUUGAACCGCAUGGUUCAAAAGUGAAAGACGGUCUUGCUGUCACUUAUAGAUGGAUCCGCGCUGCAUUAGCUAGUUGGUAAGGUAACGGCUUACCAAGGCAACGAUGCAUAGCCGACCUGAGAGGGUGAUCGGCCACACUGGAACUGAGACACGGUCCAGACUCCUACGGGAGGCAGCAGUAGGGAAUCUUCCGCAAUGGGCGAAAGCCUGACGGAGCAACGCCGCGUGAGUGAUGAAGGUCUUCGGAUCGUAAAACUCUGUUAUUAGGGAAGAACAUAUGUGUAAGUAACUGUGCACAUCUUGACGGUACCUAAUCAGAAAGCCACGGCUAACUACGUG